rnacentral:rRNA from 1 species
GCCAAAAAUUUAGCCCAAAACUCUUUAUCUCCACACCCCUUCAACCCCCCCCCAAAACAUUUUUUCAACCCAGUAAAGGCGAUAGAAAAGUUUAUUAGAGCAAUAAGUACAGUACCGUAAGGGAACAAUGAAAUAUUAUUAAACAAUAAAGCACAGAAAAGUAGAGAUACCCCCUCGUACCUUUUGCAUCAUGGUUUAACUAGUUCAACCAGACAAAAAGAUUUUAAGCCUGACUCCCCGAAACCAAGCGAGCUACUCCAGGGCAGCUAAACGAGCCAACCCGUCUCUGUCGCAAAAGAGUGGGAAGACCCUCCAGUAGAGGUGAAAUGCCAAA